AGCAGCCGCGGUAAUUCCAGCUCCAAUAGCGUAUAUUAAAGUUGUUGCAGUUAAAAAGCUCGUAGUUGAAUUUCGGGAUCAAUACGUCGGUCGUGCCUCUGGUAUGUACUGGUGUUAUUGAUUUCUCCCUUCUGAUGAACCAUGAUGUCAUUCAUUUGGUGUUGUGUGGAGUCAGGACUGUUACUUUGAAAAAAUUAGAGUGUUUAAAGCAGGCUCACGCUUGAAUACAUUAGCAUGGAAUAAUGAAAUAGGACGUUCGAUCCUAUUUUGUUGGUUUCUAGGAUCAACGUAAUGAUUAAUAGGGAUAGUUGGGGGCAUUAGUAUUCAAUUGUCAGAGGUGAAAUUCUUGGAUUUAUUGAAGACUAACUACUGCGAAAGCAUUUGCCAAGGAUGUUUUCAUUAAUCAAGAACGAAAGUUAGGGGAUCGAAGACGAUCAGAUACCGUCGUAGUCGUAACCAUAAACUAUGCCGACUAGGGAUCGGAUGAUGUUAAUUUUUAAUGACU
rnacentral:rRNA from 1 species